UCUAACAUCAUACUAAUAUAGUUCAGCUCAUGUGCUUCAUAUGAAGGAAAAACUAAACAGUGUCGUCAGCGUUUACUCCCUCAUGUUUUCACACCUGCUGCGUUAGCAAGUGCAGAGGAAAGAACAACAUCACAUGUCGUCGUUAAAGGACCAUUUUCCACUAAUUUCAGUGUUUCUCAUUUAUUUAUAAUUUAAUCAAAUAUCCCUCGUAAAGACGUCUCACUGCAAGUUCUCACUUUUUCUUUAAUUGUUUUUUAAAAAAAUUUUUUAGUCGACUCUCUCCCAGCAGGUUUUCCAGGAAAAGUCAUUCCCUUUAAUGGGAACAGACAGCAGGAAUAAUACAGUUAACCCGGGAUGACUAUCAACUGCUGAACCUCAUCAUGCCGCUCGCAGGCUCUCACUUAUGUUGUCACAGCAUCUGACCUGUUCCUCCGGCUUUCAGCUGGUUCAUGCCAAAUAAAGGGAGGGAUCGCUAAAAAGGGAAAUCAGCUUCCUCAGGUGCCAGUAGAGGGGCGAUGAGAGAGGACGCAGCGAUGAAGACACAUCUUUAAGUCCACCUGCAUACGAAGACAUCUUCCCCUUCUUCUAACAAACACACUCAGACAUAAUAAACUCUGCAGGAAUCAUCCUCUUUUCCUGUGAAUAAAUCAAA